UACCAGCACCCCGAGUGGUCUGCACGUUUAUUGGGCCUAAAGCAUCCGUAGCCGGUUCUACAAGUCUUCCGUUAAAUCCAACUGCUUAACAGGUGGGCUGCGGAAGAUACUAUAGAGCUAGGAGGCGGGAGAGGCAAGCGGUACUCGAUGGGUAGGGGUAAAAUCCGUUGAUCCAUUGAAGACCACCAGUGGCGAAGGCGGCUUGCCAGAACGCGCUCGACGGUGAGGGAUGAAAGCUGGGGGAGCAAACCGG
rnacentral:rRNA from 1 species